UACAGAGGUCCCAAGCGUUGUUCGGAUUCAUUGGGCGUAAAGGGUGCGUAGGUGGCGUCGUAAGUCGGGUGUGAAAUCUCGGGGCUUAACUCCGAAACUGCAUUCGAUACUGCCGGUGCUUGAGGACUGGAGAGGAGACUGGAAUUUACGGUGUAGCGGUGAAAUGCGUAGAUAUCGUAAGGAAGACCAGUGGCGAAGGCGGGUCUCGUGGACAGUUCCUGACGCUGAGGCACGAAAGCCAGGGGAGCGAAACGGG
rnacentral:rRNA from 1 species